ensembl:lncRNA
CCCGCGGCCCUGCAGCGCUCCCGGCCCGGCCCCUCCCGCCGCAGCGGGGCUGCUGUCCUCGGCUCCGUCCCCGCUAGAGCCGCCCGGUACGCGGCAAUAAAAGAGGUGAUAAUGACAAACGGAGCCGAUCUGUUCCUCGUUCGUUCGUUCUCCCAGAUGACAGCUAUCACGGCUGUUCAGGACUUCUGUCAUCCAAGGAGCAGCAGGUCACCCUGAGGCCAUCGGGGACUGAUUCCAUCCAUGGGGAUGAGGCCAUGCAGUGUGAGAAAGUGCUGUUGUGUAAUGAUGAAGAAUGGAAGCUCCUGCUGGAAGCCGAGCAAGGUGAAGGAGCAGCCUGAUUGCACUUGCGCUGCUUAUCUGGCUGCUUGAUCCAUGAGAACGUGUCUCGGAGCAUCUGGAAACGUGUGGAUAGCUUCCAUCCCCUCCCAGAGACUUGCGGGUCCUGGCUGCGCGCAGGAGGAGGAUGGGAGAUUUGGAGCCGUGGCCGCUCUGCAUGGCAACAUGCCUGUGAGGUUUGCUGUGCUUGGAUAGAGCAGAACUGUGCAAAAACAGAACAAGAUGGGAUUUUUCCAGGUUUAAUUUGAGCUUUAACUUGUUCCAAGUGUAACAUUGAGAUCUUACCGCUUCUUUUGUUUUCCACGCUCCGCUGCGCUCUGUGGCAGCAGCAGUCACAAGUGUCAGACCAUCAACUAAGCCUGGUUUUGAGUUGAGUGUGAAGGAAACUACACUGACAAUGAAAACACUCGCGGGGUAUUUCCAUGCCAAGGCUGUGUGCAGGUUUGGCACCCCUCCUCCCUUUGCACACCCCACAGUGAUGUUGGAGCUCAGUGGGUGAAGGUGGGAGCGGGGCCACUCGUGGCAGCCAUGGUGCAUGGGUCCGGUGGGAUUUGCGUCUCUAUUUCUCUGUUGCUGUUCUGAGUGGAGCUUGUGUGAGUAAACCUAUUGUGGUUUUAAGUUAACGUGCAAUUGGACAAGGAAGAUUAUUUGAGUGUUUGCUCUGUAUGUUUCUCCUUUGUCUUUUGUCUUGCUUGACUGAUACACAGCAAUGCACUUUGGCAACCUCAGCCUACCCCUCUACUCUCAUUAGCACUCCAGCAUGUGUUUUUACUUUAUGGAGGGCCGCACGGCGUUGCGGAUGGCAAUGGGAGAGGAGGUGGUGUGGGUAUGUGGCAACCACUUCUAGCACUGACAGCAUCCUGGCAUUUUUGAGAAGCCAGAGUUGUCACACGGUUUGUUCUGAAAGCCAUUUGCAAUCUUAACUGUAGUAACAGUCAUAAUCAUCGUCCCGCUAGUGCAGAGGAUGUGUGGGAGAAACAGGCCUCCUUGAAAAUUCCCUCCGAGGCCGUGCCAAGCCUGAAGCAAUCUUUUUUUCAUGACGGAAAGCCGUUCUCACGGCGGUGGGUAGCAGCCCAGCUGCGACGUGUCAGCGCCGAGCGCUGCGUCCCGCUCUGGAGCAGCACGGCUCCGCUGCAUCCUCUCGUCAAGUGUGUAGGAGGCGGCGUGGUCGUUUCUGCAGAAGCAGGGAAAUGCAGCCCUGGCUGUGCUGCGAUGUCCUCUGAGUCAGCAGAGCGGCCCUGUGCCCUCCCGGCCUCGCAGCCUGCUGCAUGGAGCGGCGGUGCCGCAUGGCAGCCCCUGGGACGCAGCGCAGCCACACACAACGGAUGGGGCUGUCAGAGCCGUGCUGUGUGCUUAUGGCUGGGGAGGUGCUCUGGGCACAGGGCUUGUCGCUGCUGCAGAAAAUUGCCCCACAGGGGGUCGUUUCUUGUGCUUCUUCCCAGCCUGAUAGCGUGUGGUAGGAUGGAGCUUUGGAAGCUGGAUGAAAAUCAGUUCUGAGUUUAAAAAUGCAGCCAGGUGUGGUCGGUCGAGUCAUUUUUCUGCCUCCUGAUGCUUCAUAGACAUGUCAGCAGUGGACAUCAUCACAAGCAUAAGGAACGAAGUGAUCUAAAACUCUCCACCAAGCAGGGAAGUAGCAUUAAUCUUGUUUUAUUCAGAGGGAGAUGGAAAUAAAGGAGUUUGAUACAGCUUGUCCAACAUCACAUGGAGGAUCUCUUUUACAAAAACCAGAUCUCUCAUCUCUUAAUCUGAGGCAUUAGCUGCAGCAACAUCCUUCUUCCUUAACGUCCCUUCAUGCAUGCAGUAACUUUGCACUAACGGUCUGUUUUUAUUGGGCAUCGCCUUGAGAAAUGAUUUCUUUGAGCCCCGGCCAACUCACUCACUGGCUUUUGUUCAGCUGUAAUGAGAUGGCUUAACAUAAAUUCAGGAGCAUGCCAGGGCUUUGCACCUGAACAGGCAGCCAGAGGUCUGAACCCUACGUCCAACACUUAGAAAAACAUCCCCGGAUGUUGUUUGCAGAGAAUCAGUGAGGAAGAGGAUGAAUGCAGAUGUGUGACACGUGCCAGCUGCAGCGAUCUCAGGUACUUGGGCCUGAUUCUUUCUCGUGUUACGCUGUAUCAUUGCUCCCUGGUUCAGUCUGCAUCUUUUCUGUCAGAGAGGCAGGGAGGGGAAGAUGUGGCCUCACAUCAGCGAUGUUGGGCCCAAGCAUGACUCCAGAGAGGCUGGCUGAUUGGGGGCAGAAGGAAGCGAGGUUUUGGUGGUGGUAGAGGGGCAGUGCUGGGUCCUACAGCAGAAUGGGGCAGUGGGAGUGCCAGGGCCUUCCGUGCCACCCUGAUUCUGAACAGUAUUGCUGUGACUGACUUUGUUUGCUGUUUGCAAUAGUUUUCUCUUUGGGUCCCAGACCAGGCAGUUUUUGGCUUGGUUUUAAUUACCAUCUGACCUCCUCACUGCUAGUUCUCUUCUGCACUUGCUGUGUUGCAGUCAUUUUGCUCUGGGCGGUAUUCUGGGAAAAACUAGGACAAGCUCCUUGGUGCCUUUGGUAGAUGUUAUGCCUGGAAGGUGGCCCAGUGCUGUAAGAAAUGCUCCUGACUGAGUAAGAGAAGCCAAGAAGUAAAAAGUUAGGAUAGCAUUCCAGUUAAAACAUGGGAGCACCUCUUGCCAUUUCAGAGUGGCUUAGCCUAUGUCAUCACAGUGCUGAAAGAAAGGAGGGUCUGGAUGCCGCAGCUCCCAGGAGAGUACUGAUCAUAUAAACAACAAUGAAAAGCUUCCAGUGAUAGCCUGGAACACCACCUUCUGUCUGUCUGUGUAGUGCUGGGGAGGACAGCCCCACAAGGCAGGCCCCAGCGUGCGCUCCUGUCGGUGUGGGUGCUGCUGGCAAGAGGUGGUGGUUCUGCUAUGGGUUUGUCAAGUCCUUUUUCUAACGGGGCUCUGGCCUGAUGGUGCUGUAGCUGUGUAAAGGGUGAAUAUUGAAAUGUUAUUAUCUAGUCCUGAGCAGGCACAAACUCGCUGUUUUUCAUCCCUGCUGAAUUUGCCAUCCCUACUGAGUUAUUCUUAGAAUGUUGUUGAAUAAAAGCCUAGCUUGUCAGCAUGGCUUCUUUUUGAUUGUAUUUGUGCACUGAGUCUAACCUACGGACAAUGGCGAGCGUCAUACUGAUUUGUGGAAAUGCUCCUAAUUCUUUGUCUUGUGCCUUUUUAAAUGAAGCAGUCUCUGAAGUGUUUAUCUACAGCGCAUAAAAGCCCCUAUAAAUGGAUGCAUAUUCCUAACUUUAUAAGACUUGCAUAUUAAUCUGCUUAUUUUCUGCCUGAACAAAGGGCCUCCGGAACCCACAAACGUAGUCAUAAUUCUCCUGAUCUGGUUUGCUGCAAGGUUUUGCUUGACUACACAGAUGUUUUCCAUGUAUUUGGCAAAAGAGGGGUCAAAGCCUGCAUCUGGCCCACUAUUUCUGGCAAAAACCCCGAUGUGCUUAAUCCUUUUUGAACAUGAAUAUUCUGAGAGCUCAUUUGAUUUAUUAACCUGAUUAUUUUAAUGUGGAGAAACAAUGUGGAACAGUGACCUUCGUUCAGGAAAAUGCUUGUCCAAGUGUUUCUGCUCUGAAUCCGUCCAAGCUCAAUGCAGAGUGUGUGAAGGACUGGUGUACACCACAGGGCUACUCAGGGACACAGGUAAGCCUCUUUGCAAGACUCAGGUAUGGUUGGCUCUUGUGCUCUGCGCUGUGUAGUGGGACCUGAGCCAUGAAGUAAUGCAAACAAGGUCUGGAGGAGGGGUUAGGUUGCUUUUCCCCGUAGCUGAGGAGUCCCAGCCUGGGCAGUAUUGCAUGGGGCUCUUCAUACAGGUGUGGGCUGAGCUCACCUGAAAAUCACAGCAGGGCAUGUGGGGACUGGUCAUGUGUAGUAUUGCUGAAUGAGCAAGAAGAGUUGGUUUUCAGGGGAUGUUACACCAUGCGGUUUCAUUAAACACUCCUCUCCAUCUCCCUAAAGAGCAGGAGAUCACCUCUUCCUGUCUGCUUUGGGAACGUGCAGCGAUAUCCCCAUUCUCUGCUGGGUAGAGCUAUCUGAGUGUCCCCAGUGUGUAUUGAGCAGGGCGCUGUACAGACAUGAGGCAGAUGGAUGCCAUCCUUGAGGGCUUUGCAAUAGAAGUGUAUUUCCUCAGUGAAUGGCAGUGCUGCAGGAUGAGUAAUGCCCUUAACAUUUUAUACGGAGCUUCGCAGUCUGUAUGACGGGGCUGUAGUCUGGGUCACUAUUCCUCCCUUCCUAUUACUCACAGAUAAACUGACUAAUUCACACAUUUUUGGCCAACAGUUUUCAAAGUUGGCUGCCUAAAAGAAAGCAUCUUUAACGAGAGCGGCUGGGUUUCAGAAGCUGCUGAGGAGCCACUGAUGCCAAGCAGAGCCCAAUUUACAAUCACUGAGCCAAGUUUUUCUUUAUAACUGCAAACCCUGGUAAGCAUUAUCACUGUAGCUGGGAUUGGAAGGGUACCGGGCUCCAGCCAACCCCAAGAGCAGUGCAGCAGCCAGGAGCAGGCCGGGCAUGCAGCCGGGAUGCCCAGGGAGGUAUCUGCGGGGGAUGAGCACUGCUUUUGCAAGCUGGGUGUUGGAAAAGGAAACCGAUGGAAACAAUAACCGAAGCCAAUAAACAAUCCUGUAUGCAACAAACUUUAAAAUUCUCCAUUUCGUAAGAAAUAGCAAUUGCUCGGGGCCAGUAUCAUAAACGCCCAUCUCAGAGUGCUUCCCUCAGCUCUGACCAUGACCAGAUGUUUAGUCAAAUCCUGUUAACCUCCGUUUCACAAGUUCAGGCUCUUCCUGUGCUCGGGGCCAGAACCAAAGCUGGCUGGUGUGAUGGAGGGCCUCCUUGGGACACAGGGGCUCCAGGUCGGGACUUGAGAUGGUUCGUGUGAGUAUUGGAAAGCAGUUCUCAAACAGCUCUCACUGUGUUUUGAGUACUGCUCGCUUCUGGGCUUUGAAAAUGUGUCAGUGUAGGCAUCUGUGAAAAUCAGUCUCUGUGAGAGACACUGAGUGAAACCUGGGGAUGAGGAAGGACACACGUCUAAAGGCUCGUGAAAAGCUGAGCUCACACAACUUGUGUUACAUGUUGGAUGCAUUGUAUUCUCCUCUGUUGCAGAGAAAUCUCAAUGGGAAAAGAAAUCUGGAUGUUUCAAAACGUACUUCUUUUCAUUCUGCAUGUAUGGCAUGGAUUGAAUAGCAGUCAUCCAGAAAGCAGAAAUACCAGUGUCAGAGUCAGAACGCUUAUACAGGGUAGAGAUUUGCUGUUCCAUUUCACUCUUCUAUCCUGGUGUGACUUUGUGACCUCAAGAAAUCCCUUUCUAUCAUGAAAGCUGUCUCCAAGAAUUGGCACCUUUGUGAUUACAUCUCAUUUCUGGUGCUGGAGAGCUGCAUCCAGGAGCUCAAGCUGUGAAGUGGUGAACAAAGCCCUCUGCUAUCUUGUGCUUCUUCACAUAGAUGAAAAUGGACACAAAGAAGCUGGAUUGUGUCUUAAGGUGAAGAAAGAUGCAGCAGCAACUUUGUGAUGGUGCUCCUGGAGAGCAGCGCGGUGCAGCUGGGCUGUGGGGACCACCAGCAUCCCUGCCUCUGCAUCACCCCAUCCAGCACUGGGAAGCACUUCUGUAGGCGUGGAGGUUUCCAUCUUCCAGGCUGUUUGGGCAUGGAGUGCUCCAACAAGGUCACUGACUUGCCCUGUUAUUCUGAAGGUCUCCAUAUCCAUGUGACAUGUGCAGUCCAUGUGAACUAUCUACAGACAUUAGAGAUUUACACUUUUUGUAGACCUUUGAGGAUGCAAAUCCUACAAGUUGCACUUUAAAGAUCUUCUGCUUGGCGUCACAGCCCCAUCCGUGCCAUCUGGAGGAGCGGAGCAGCCCCGAGCUGGCUGAUGGAGACAAGCUGAAACCAGACGUAUAUCUGUGGAGAUCUAUUCUUCUGAAGCACGGACAGAUUUCCUGAGCGCCACCAUUCCAAAGGCAGGCACAGGGAUGCAGCACCAGGCACCAAAGCAUUGUCCAGCCCAUCAGCACAAAGUGACAUGAGAGGGUGUCUGGACUAAAGUAUAGGCAAGAGAAGCUAAACUAAGCCCUACUAAGCAGAGCAACGUCCCAGUCCUGCAAGAAGCUGGUGCUGAAGUGCAAAAGGGUCUGCAAAAACUGAAGACAAAGGAAGCCUCAAAAUAGUGAAACUUCAGAUGAGAAAUUCUUGUGUGUGAGUUCUGGUUUGUUUGUUUGUUUGUUUGUUUUUAAUAUUUCCUACAACCUCUUUAUCUCUUUUACAUUUGAAUGAACUAAAGAAACCAAAAUCUGAGGAAACUGGCUGUGGCAGAAAGCAGAGCCAAGGCCAGGUUUCCAGGGGAUGAGUAAGAAAGAAACCUACAGCAAGUAACCAAAACCAAAACCCAGCCUCGAGCUGUUAUCAUCAAGUUAUCUUGAGUAAACUAUGUAUUGUGUAUUUCCUGAAGAGCAUGACCAAAAUUCAUUGAGACCAUUGCUCUCUCAGUAGGUUAUGGCGAAAUGCCCAACUAAUGUUGUAUGCCUCCUUUUUGAUACAUAGCCAAAAGGAUUUGUUGGUUUGUUUUCACUCAUUCCUUACUCAUGAAAAAGAAGUGAGCUUAAUGGGUUUUGCAAUUCAUUUUUCAUUUGUUCGGAAGCACUUCCUCCAUCCAAACCAUAGACAGAUUGUUUCCCAGCAUAGAAAAAUCUGUACUGAUGUGGCUGAGAUUUAGCCACCUCAUUUGCUCUACCAGGAGCGCUCUGAACUUCUGCAGGGCACAGUGAGUUUCUGGUGGCAGCACCAAACUUGACUUAUUCCAAAAAACUUCCCCAAAUGGUAAAGUAUCACUGAAAAGAAAGAAAACACAAUUGUCUUCAACCAUUAUGGCUGCCCUAAUUUGAAUCACAUGGGAAAGCGCUUUGUUAAUGGCUUUGUUCUUUUACUCCUUGUUGGCAAUACAACAAAACAAAACGCCCCAUUCUUUGUUGUUUUUCCUUUAUGUGUUGCUUUUCCAUCUGGUUUGAGAAGAAACUGGCCUCCUGGGUCAGUAAUCAUGUUGAAAGACUUGAGAACUGGGGUAGAUUCCCUCAAAUUCCUGAAUAACUCCUGACUGACCACUUUACCUCCACUGCUCUUCUGUAAAAUGGCAGUAAGUUGACUUUACCUCCUAGGGCCUUUGUUAGAAAAUGUAUUUAUUGCUGCACGCAGGUACCCAAAAUUCAAGGCAAAUGCGUGUUGUAUUUUUCAUUACAGCAUGUCCUGUGUAGAGUUUAAGCUAAUAUGCCCCGAUUAUGGCUCACGAUGAUGCGAUGAUUCGUAAGAGGAACAAGUUGGAAUAGAUUGAAAUAUAUACAUGUAAAAGAAGGGUGUGCGGCCUCCCAGCACUCUUUGAAAUAUAAAUGUGAGAAUUCCUUUAGGUGUAGUGCUGGAAGCCCUGGAAACCCUCAUGCCAGCUCACACGGGCAGGUGCUGAGCAGAAGGAGCAUGCCAGGAGACAGAGAAGAUUUGGUUUCUGCCAGCAGGCCGCAAAGGCUGCAGCCCCACAGUGCUCUGUUGUUGCAAGCCUAGGACAGGCAGUGGGAUGCACCCUGUGAGUGCUGCCUUCUGCUUUCAAGCUCAGGCAGAAGGCUUAUUGCGGUAUGCCCUGGACCUGGGUAUUGGUUUUUGUGUUUUGUUUGUGUUGUGCUUUUUUCCUUGUCUGCUUUUUUACCACCAAUUUUUCUGAGUUCAAUUUUCAUUUGAUUCCCUCUCUUAGGCUAUUAUUUACAAUCGAACAGCAAAAUGUUACAGGCUGAGCAGGCAGGGCACUAUAUAUAGCAAAAGCAGGGCAGUUCCCUGCUCUAAUCAUCUCCUGCUGCUUUUAUGUAGAUAGUAAAUGAUGGGCCACAGGGUGAGCUGCAAUUCAGCUCUAGGAAAUGCAUGUCAAAGGAGUUUAAGCACUGCAUCCUGCCCACACCAAGAGGAGGUAAUUUGGGCUUGACAUGGCAGUACUGGGUUUUCACAGAGCUGAAGAGUUUCAGAUGAGAUCUUGUGUCCUUUGGCCGAGCGCCCAGAGAGCCCAUGUUUCAGAAUAGGAUAUUUACAACAGCAAACUGUAGCGUUCCCCGCUUUGAGUAACAGGCAGAUUUCAGCCAAAACAAAACAAAAGAAAAGCAGCCUUCAUUCACACCGUCCCCCUCUGCUGACCCUGCUGUCGUGCUCAGCCUCCCUCAGCCCUGGGUAGCGGGCCUGCCUCAGCUGGGGACAGCCUCACGGCUGCCAUUUGCUUUGUUUGUGCUUCAGGCUCCUUCCACUGCCUCGCCUCCCCCGAGCCGCCUGGCUUGCACUGGCCUUUUUCCCUCUGCCAAGCCUGCUUCACUGCCUGCUCAGGUCUGGGGCCGUUCUGCUGCCUGCUCUUUUUACAGCAGUCCAAGUGAGCAGAAAUAGUUGAACCAACAAUAAAAGUUUGCCAGCUCUGGUCAUUUGGGUCCUACAACUGAAACACAGUGUGAGAAAGCUUAAGCAGGAGCUUUGCUGAUGGGGCUUAGUCCCAAAUCCAUGCAAAUCCAAGGUAAUCUGGAAGCUGCUCGCUGCCCUUUCUUAGCAUCACGGUGUCAAAAGGCUUCAGCAGAGCAGGAGCUGAAGGAGCCAGGAGCUGUGUGCAUGCCUUGUCAGAGAAAGUUUGUGAGCUGAAGGUUUUAUAAGCUGCCUGUUUCAAACAGCAAGAAAGUUGAGUGCAGCAGUUCUGCUCUCACCAGCACAGAGCCAAGGGAUGCAGGCUCAGGUCCAGCUCUGAGCAGCAACCGAGGCGCUGCAAUGCAAAGGAGUAGGCAAGUUGCUGAGGACAAGGCCCUUAGUUAUUUUUUCUGCCCAGCUGAAGGAUUGUUCAUGCAUUUUAUUCACCGUCUGAUUAAUGUGAAGUACAAAAGCACUCUGCCUUUGCAAGCAGGAGUGAAACUGCAGUCUCCACCCUCCCAGAGGAAUGACUUAAAUGUGAAGCUCUGGUGUCGUGCUCUUCCUUUCCUUCUAUCUGAUCAAAUGCAUUUUUAAUUCUUUAAUGCAAAGUAGGAAAGCAUCAGUACGAGAGUUUAAGAGCUCUGCUUUGUUCCAGAAAAGCCUCAACCAUGGUUGCUAAAGAGCUCCGCUGGGAACACAGGCACAGCUCCUGCCUUUGUGGGAGCUAACAUUGAACUCCUGUGCUCGGCGACCACCUACCACACUGCACGAGCAAGAGGUCACUUGUUGGCAUGCAGCACCAGGUACAGCGGCAUUUCCUCCCUGGUGGUCUCGGGAGGGGCUCAGAGGAGGGCUGCCUGGGACCCCAAGCUCCGGCCCUGUGCACCAAGAGCAGAGGUGCAGGGUUAGCCACACCACGGCAUGAGCUCUUCAUUGUCCACUACUGGGUUUCAACACGCUUUGGGAAGCCGCCAUUCCUUAGGAGCUGUCUUAUGCUCUACUGCCUACGUGAAAUGCAGAUGGACCCAGUGGUCUGCCCAAAAUGAAAUAAAAGCUGGAUGUGCUGUUCAUUCCAGAUGUUUCCAGAACAGAUGCAAAACAUUCCAGGGUCGCUCUUCUCAAGGUGUUGGGGUCACUUGCUGGAUUGUUUUCACUGAAGGCUCGGUACGACCCAAGUCACCGAUCCUUUCCAGUUAAGUCACUUCAGAUGAACACAGUGAAAGCCAAUAAAUAAACAGGAGAACUGCUGAUUGGAAAUGUUUCCCUAUUGCUGCCACCAGUAAAAGCAGCCAGCAAUCUGCUGUGUUUGCAGGGUGAAACAGAGUACAGACUUUUUAGUCCUCAAUCCAGCGCUCACCUAAGAGAUUUAGGGCCAGAUAUCCCAUUUAUUUACACCUAUGUAAAAUUAAGGACAUUUCAUCCAAGUUAAUGUACCACCAGGUGGUGGAUUUUGCCUCAGAUCUCAUUAUUUGUUGGACUUUAAUUUAUAUUCAGCCACUGUGCAUAUACACACAUACAAAGCGGUAAUUUUUUACCAACAAUAGGAGUGGAGUUUGCUAUAUAAAUCAGCGUUUCUCAGUCAAUAUGUUGCAACCCCUGCAGGGGUUAUAAAAACCAUCUGGGGGCCUGUAAAGCACCGAAAAUUUUAUAACAAUCUAAAGCAAAGAAAAUGUCAUUUCUUCCACUCUCCAUAUAGCAGCACCAUUCUGUUGGCAGCCUGUCAAAACCAUACAAGAAACAAUAAAUUCUAUGGGCUUAUCACUUUCACCGUAAUUUUUUAGUCUUGGCUUUAUAUUACACGUGCGGAAAGUUUCUUUUACUUUUAACACAGGAUUUCCAAUCUGAACUGCUUGAAAAGAGGUGCUCUAAAACUUCUGGCCUCAAAAGAAGGUAGUUUUCAUCAAGGGCCUCUGCUUUAGUCUUCUCCUAAGCUGACUGUUAAAACUACAGCCUAUUUUGUGAAGCUUAGGCUUGUUUGUGUUGGAAUCAGUUUUUCUGUUUCUCCAUGACUUUCUGUCUGUCAGCUUCCUCUUUAAGUCUAAAUCAUACAGGGCGACAGCAGCAUUUCCCUCUGUGGGGAGAGAUGUUUUGCUUCAAGUGGAAAAAAUGGAUGAGAUUUCCUGUAUCCUCAGUAGAGACUCUGUGCAUGGUUUGAAAUCUGCCCUUCCUAAGGUGAGAUAACAUCAGACGAGCCUAUGUGCUUUCAAGUGUAGCCUCACAGCACACGCGACUCGUCAGUGAAUUCUGCUUUCAUGUGCACACCUUUAAUCUCUGUGCACAGGUACUUAUGUAUGAAAUGAAUUUCAGUAGCAACAAAUUGUAGCCCACAUGCACACAUACAAAGGAAUCUGAGUCAGAUCUUGCAGUGCCUCCUGCAGCAUAGUUUCUACAGCAGUUUAAGCCAGCCUCGCUGCCGGCUGCCGUAGGCCCGGCCAUUUUGUCACUGCAGUGCCUCCAGCGCUCAUC